rnacentral:rRNA from 1 species
UAAUACGGAGGGUGCAAGCGUUAAUCGGAAUUACUGGGCGUAAAGCGCGCGUAGGUGGUUUGUUAAGCUAGAUGUGAAAGCCCUGGGCUCAACCUGGGAACUGCAUUUAGAACUGGCAGGCUAGAGUACAGCAGAGGAUAGUGGAAUUUCUAGUGUAGCGGUGAAAUGCGUAGAUAUUAGAAGGAACACCAGUGGCGAAGGCGACUGUCUGGGCUGAUACUGACACUGAGGUGCGAAAGCGUAGGGAGCAAACAGGAUUAGAUACCCUGGUAGUCCACGCCGUAAACGAUGUCUACUAGCCGUUGGGUCCCUUGUGGACUUAGUGGCGCAGCUAACGCAAUAAGUAGACCGCCUGGGGAGUACGGUCGCAAGAUUA